AACGCGAAGAACCUUACCUGGGUUUGACAUCCUAUGAAUGCUGUAGAGAUACAGAGGACUCGCAAGAGACAUAGAGACAGGUGCUGCAUGGCUGUCGUCAGCUCGUGUUGUGAAAUGUUGGGUUAAGUCCCGCAACGAGCGCAACCCCUGUCUUUGGUUGCCAUCAUUUAAGGUGGGCACUCCAGAGAGACUGCCGUCGUCAAGACGGAGGAAGGUGGGGAUGACGUCAAGUCCUCAUGGCCUUUAUAUCCAGGGCGACACACGUGAUACAAUGGUCGGUACAAAGGGUAGCCAAGUAGCGAUACGGAGCCAAUCCCAAAAAGCCGAUCUCAGUUCGGAUUGGAGUCUGCAACUCGACUCCAUGAAGUUGGAAUCGCUAGUAAUCGCGGAUCAGCACGCCGCGGUGAAUACGUUCCCGGGCCUUGUA
rnacentral:rRNA from 1 species